rnacentral:misc_RNA from 1 species
GAUGAAGAACGUAGCGAAAUGCGAUACGUAAUGUGAAUUGCAAAUUCAGUGAAUCAUCGAGUCUUUGAACGCACAUUGCGCCCCCUGGUAUUCCGGGGGGCAUGCCUGUCCGAGCGUCAUUGCUGCCCUCAAGCACGGCUUGUGUGUUGGGCCCCGUCCUCCGAUCCCGGGGGACGGGCCCGAAAGGCAGCGGCGGCACCGCGUUCGGUCCUCGAGCGUAUGGGGCUUUGUCACCCGCUCUGUAGGCCCGGCCGGCGCUUGCCGAUCAACCCAAAUUUUUAUCCAGGUUGACCUCGGAUCAGGUAGGGAUACCCGCUGAACUUAAGCAUAUCAAUAAGCGGAGGA